rnacentral:tRNA from 1 species
GGGCACGGUGGCAUAGUGGUUAGCUCUGUUGCCUCGCACGAAGGAGGUUCCAGGUUCGAAUCCGGGUGCUCC